rnacentral:rRNA from 1 species
CCUACGGGAGGCAGCAGUGAGGAAUAUUGGACAAUGGUCGAAAGACUGAUCCAGCCAUGCCGCGUGCAGGAAGACGGCCCUAUGGGUUGUAAACUGCUUUUGUUUGGGAAGAAACCUUUCUACGUGUAGAAAGCUGACGGUACCAUACGAAUAAGCACCGGCUAACUCCGUGCCAGCAGCCGCGGUAAUACGGAGGGUGCAAGCGUUAUCCGGAUUUAUUGGGUUUAAAGGGUCCGUAGGCGGACUUAUAAGUCAGUGGUGAAAUCCUGCAGCUCAACUGUAGAACUGCCAUUGAUACUGUAAGUCUUGAAUUCGGUUGAAGUGGGCGGAAUAUGGCAUGUAGCGGUGAAAUGCUUAGAUAUGCCAUAGAACACCGAUUGCGUAGGCAGCUCACUAAGCCUGGAUUGACGCUGAGGGACGAAAGCGUGGGUAGCGAACAGGAUUAGAUACCCUGGUAGUCCACGCCGUAAACGAUGAUUACUCGACAUUAGCGAUACACGGUUAGUGUNAUAAGAGAAGACAUUAAAGUUAAAUACCACCUCGGGUAAGGUACGGUUCGUUCGAAGAAAGUUAGAAACGUUAAAAUUAAGAAGUUAGUACGGGCGUUGAGACGNGCGAACGGACGACGACGAGGGAGGAGG